rnacentral:miRNA from 1 species
GGCUGGGAGAGUGGCUCAGAA